rnacentral:rRNA from 1 species
GACGAACGCUGGCGGCGUGCUUAACACAUGCAAGUCGAACGGUGAACCUCUUCGGAGGGGCUCAGUGGCGAACGGGUGAGUAACACGUGGGCAACCUGCCCCCGGCUCUGGGAUAACUCCAAGAAAUUGGGGCUAAUACCGGAUGUUCACCGCUUCCCGCAUGGGUGGUGGUGGAAAGGGUUUCCGGCUGGGGAUGGGCCCGCGGCCUAUCAGCUUGUUGGUGGGGUAGUGGCCUACCAAGGCGAAGACGGGAAGCCGGCCUGAGAGGGUGACCGGCCACAAUGGGACUGAGGCACGGCCCAGGAUCCUAACGGAGGCAAGCGGGGGGAAUAUUGCGGAAUGGGCGGAAGCCUGAAGGAACGGCGGCCGGUGGGGGAAGACCGGCUUUGGGGUGUAAACCUAUUUCAGCAGGGACGAAGCGCAAGUGACGGUACCUGCAGAAGAAGCACCGGCCAACUACGUG